CUGUGAUGAAUGAUUUUGACUCGAUUAACUGUAUGUUACUCUAUCGAUUGACUGUCUUCGACUUGGCGGCUGUGCUGUCUUGACUACUGACUCCUUCUGUUCCUCGCACUGGUUUUAACUGUUACUGAUGAACUUUGACUGUUACUCGAAUGUUACUGUGUGAACAAGUCUAGAGAGCAAGUCUAGAACAAGUAAAAUUCGUUCUCGUGUUAUCACGGAGGAAAACUCGGUAUGGGUGUACCUUUUGAACUAAGCACGCGGAUUCGUUGUUCACACCUUUCGUGAGGGUAAUGAUCCGCAAUACUAAUUGGCUAUAGCCAACGUUAAUGAAUGAAGAUAGGAGAAGGGAGUCUCCUACCAACGUGAGGGGUGUCCUUGUUCAUGGGAAAACCUAGCUCUUCUCGUUAGGUAAAUACUCGCUAUUUUCGUUAGAUAACUACCUGCUUCCUCCGUGAUUUUUAAGAAUGAAUAAUAAACCUAAGGACUGUUCUAAGGACUAGCCAUAAACCGAAUAUACUUGCAGAAAUAAAGAUUCUGUUUAAGGUGGUUCCUUAGGUUUAUUAAGGAUCUGUAUAACAGUACGUGGGCCUUUGACGGUCAGGCAAUGAAGGAUGUCGCACGGACCACCUCACGUGACGUGAAACAAAGAAUUUUGUCUUAGAAAAGAAAAUUAGAGGUAAACAUUGCGAUUUCCAGGGGUUAUUUCCUUUUGCACUUCUCGUUUCUCAUAGUGUAAAAUUUACCGCCAUGUUUUAUAAAAUAUAGUAUAACGUUUUUGCAAAUUUCGUUGGUUGUGGAAUGGUGCAAGAGGUAUUAGUAGAAAAUUAAUAGAACACUACAGUUUCUGAGGAUACUAUUUGCCUUCUUUUCUCUAAUCCCUUUUACAGCACAGUUCCACGAAAUAUCACAGAAUUCAAUACGUUUAUAGAUGUUAAAGAGCCAACACUGUUUUACACGAGUAAACAUAUCGUAUUCUCGAUCGAUCAGUGUUUUAAUUUCGUUUAGUUAGAAAUUUUUCUUCAGUUUUUACUAUUGAAACUAUAUAGGUACUUCUGACAAAAUUAAUGUUGCCUUUUACUGAGGUGAAUACCGUUUUAAUUUUAGCUGUCUAUGUAGCGUUAAAAGGCCAUUAAAUUUUCAGACGUAAAAAUAGUAGAAGCUUGUAAACCGAUAUUACGAGAAACGCCACAUAGAAAUCAAAACGGGAGAAAGACAAUCGUAUAUUUCAAUUCUGGAGUUGUAAAUUGCGACUCAUUUACUCCUACAGUAAAAUCUCGAAUAAAAAGAGAAGAUUCUUUGACGCCACUGGUCGUGCGAGGAUACGUAAAUACGUACGCAAACAAAUAGAUAAAUGCGUUCAUUAAGAUUAGUAUACAACCGCGCGAUAUGUAGAGUUAAUUGAACGUGCGGCAGAGGGAACGAAAGGAGAAAAAGGAUGGAAGCAGCAUUUCACUCUUCUUCGGGUUUCGCUAUAAAUCGACGAAAAAUACGAAAGAUAAAAGCCGAGCGAAAAGAGGAGAAUAUUAAAUGGGACUGUUUUCGACAGCCAUGAAUUUCUCAAGCUCUAAAAACAAUUCCAACAAAUAGCGCAACUUUUAACGUACAUCCGUGUCAUCGAGACUUGCACAUUUUAAGUUUAAGUGUUCCCAGAAACGUCGUGCACGUCACCCCUAGUAUUGUAUCAAGAAACAUCAACUGAAAAACUGUUAUAACGCAAUAAAUCACGCUGAAUGUUUAUCGCGGAGCUGAGAAAUUUCACGGAAAGCCUCGAGAAACGUGGGGGGAUUCUGAACUGUUGACCUUCUACUUUUUGAUGGUGAGACGUCAACAAUCGACUAGAGCGUUCGUUUAGCCUUGUUGCCACGCUGAUAACAUAGAAAAGCAUAUCCAUGUAAAAAAAAAAAACACCAAUGCAUGCGAAUGAAUUCACAGGUGGCUAACAUGUUGGACUGAACAUGAUCUCAUUGUUUGACAAAUUUCGGUUUGAUAGGCAAAGCAAAAUUAAAACGAUGACCGGUUCUUAUAGUAGAUCUGAUGAAUAAAUCAAUCCAGACCUCUUCGUUUUUGUUCUUUUUUUUUUUGGUAGGAAUCCUUUCCGAAAUAUAACUCCUUUGACGUGUUAUAUUAUUAUAUUAUAUUAUAUUAUAUUAUAUUAUAUUAUAUAUUAUUUAUACAUAUAUGUAAAAUAAUAUGUGAUAUUAAAAAUAUUUUUCAUCGAUUGUCGUUACUAUUACAAUAUGGAAAUUCUAUCUAGCAGGGAAAGUGAUAAAAUUUUUCUUUAUAACAUAAUUUCUGAAAGAGAAAUUAAAUUACAAAUAACAUAGUUAACUUAAUAAAAAUAGUUAUUAAGCCUGGCUUCAGGGACAUCGUAUUACAGUUACAAUUUGGGAACUAAUAGUAAUUUAAUUUAAAACUCAAGUGCCUUGGAUGUAGUUAACACGUAAAUCAUGUUGUUAUUGCGUUUAGCGACGAAAAAAAUCUCUAGCAAUAAAACGUAAUGUUUUUCAUUUACUUUAUGAAUAUUGAGUGACUUCUCUUUAUACAUAUGUACAUCAUUUGCAACUUUCAUUGAAUUUUCUCAAGAACGUAAUAUGUUAUUCAUUGACGUCUCCUCGCGUUAUUUUGCCAAUUAUGAUUUUUAAAUUGAGCGAAAUCGCUGUAUCAUUAAUGUAAGACAUAUAUUUAGUUAGACGAAAUACACGAUGCACCUUGCUCCUCAAAAGAUAUCAGACCGAUUCUGUCAAUUACGUAGAUUGUUCAAGAAACUUAAUCAACUUAAUUAAGAUCGAUAUAUCUAUUAAAAGUCCCCCCAAAAUGGUAUAAUUCGAUAAUUUCGUCGGCGUUUUAACGUGUUACACACGCAGUAUUUUAACACUUCAUAAAAAGAAAAACACGAGUACAUCUAUGCUCUAAACGAAUUGUAUCCCAGUUUCUUUAAGAAGUAGAAAAUUGACAAAUUCUAUUUAAGAUUAAGAAUCCCUCUUGAUAGAAUAAAAAAGUGAAACUGUAGAAUAAACGUAGAAUAUAAACCGUAGAAUAUUUAUCUGUUAUAUUUUCUAUCUAGUGCAGCCAGAAGUGCUAUCAUUCGUUUAUUGAGCUAAAAUAAUCAUUCUCCUGCAUUUUAUCUGCCCAGCCUACAAAUUUUAAAUACGUACAUAUGUACUCCAACGAAAAACAGAAGUUUCGAAAGCUACUGCGGAAACUAAUCGCGCGAUGACGUCAUUCAUCAAAUACCGUGUAUGGAAUCAGUUGAACGGUUUGAUAAAGAGACGCGAGAGGCCAAGGGAGAGGAAAGUGAAAACAAGACAACCUUCUUAUCAAUGUUUUUCCUAACGGAAAUGCAACGCCUCGCUCGUAUUUAUUACAACUGAUAAACAACGUGAGCAAUUAGUAUACGCGAUGACGAAAUUAUUUUCAUGCAUCAACAUUCUCGUCACAAAUGCGAUUCUGAUUGUGAGUAGCUGCCGACCGUUCCUGUCGGGGGUAGUGUCGAAAGCGUUUUUGGAGAACCGCUCCGAUCUUUGCUGUUGAUGCUCACUGAUAUUGACAUGGACACGAUGACACGAUAAUGGCAAUCUCUUCCAUGAAAACAAGCGUCUGUCGAUUCAAUUGCUAAUCCUAUUACCGAGUCAUCGAUGCGAGUUGGCAUGCGUCACGGUUAGUGAUUGCGCGUUAUUCGCAUGAUGAACUAUGGAAAUCAUAGAAUGGCCUUUCCAGGUGGAUCGUUGUCGUUCGUCGUAAUCUACUUGAAAUAUUUUACCAGCCUCGGGACUCAAACUACGCAAAUUUCUAUUUCUGCGUAUAGUCAAGUAUAAUAAACAAUAAUUAGUUAGCGAACAGAUAGACGGAUGACUGCUCUAGUCGUCGAAGGAGGCCGUUAGCGAGAAGUAGUUUCCCGGCCCGGGAAAACCCCUCGAGAGCCUGCUGUAAAUUUAGCGAUGAAUGAUACGGUAUUGGGAUUGCCGGAUCCGCGACACAUGGCCCCUUUUAGUAUGUUUAAUACCUUUUAGUAAUAAACACAUUGAGGUUCUUCCAGCGACAGGUCAAAUUUCUCUUACAUACGGAUAAAUAGAACAGGCUUCUUAAAAAAAAAAAAAAGUUAGAGGUUCAAUGACAAAAUCUCAUAGAACAUAACAGAUGGCAUAAGUGACAAAGCAGAUGUGAAAGAAGAAUAGUUACGAAAUAUCAACAAAGCGACAUCAUAUAUUGUACGUAUCUUAUUAUUAUAUAAGAAGGAAGCUUUCCGCGAGCACUAUUUAAUUUACGUAAUUUUGCAACGAUUAAUCAGAUAAUAAAUUAGCCAACGUAUACAUGAAUAUAUUAAGAAGAAUCAAUUCUUUACUGUCAAGCGGAUUUUUUUUCAAGUAACAAUUAAAUACAAUCAAGAUCGAAAACCGUAUGACGAUCGAUAGGAUCGAACAGUAACAAGCGUUUUAUAAUCUACUUACGAUCAAUGAACGAAGGGAAGUCAACGAACCGGAUACAGUUUACCAUUAUCGAGCAACAAUACCUCAUAAGAUCAAACUCAUGUACGCUGUUAAAAUUCGUCGUAAUGACACGUAAUUAUUCCUAAAUGCAUAAUACUUGCACGUGUGCGCAUUUUCGUGUUAUAUAGAUAAACAUUUAAUCAUAUCCAUGAAAGUACGCACGAAACGGCCCCACCGUCGUUGUUACUUGCCGUUGAUUGACGUCAUAAUGACACUUGUUUGCUUUAACAGCCCGGUAUAAGUACGUGUAUGUAUACGCUAAUCGAUAACGAUAAAUAGCGGCACGGGCUGCCUGAAAAUAGUGCCGGCGAUUUCUCAAUGAAGAGAGGCAAUGGGCACAUGUCUGAUCGAUGAUCGACCACACGUAUGUACAUAAUAAAAAGUGUAGAAGUGUCGAAGAUCUUACUGGAAAACUUAGCGCUUCUUCUUAACAGAUUAGAGAAUUUAUGUGUGUAUAUAUUUAAUUUGAAACAUUCUUUCUAGCAUUUAUAAGACAGUAAACGAUUCUGUAACUUAAACUGCAAUGCAUCGUAGAAUAUAGGAGGAGGAUACGUUCGAGUGGAAUUUCGACACAAAAGGAAGCAGCGAUUGACUUGACGUGUUAUUACAUUCCACCGUAUGAAACUCUUUAGCAACAUGUGGACGAAAAGGGAAGCAUAAGAAUUCAAAACAAUAAUAAAUUCCGAUCACGUUGCUUCUUUCAGCAUAUUAAGUCUCGAAGACUGGAAAGAAUCAGAAACUUUCACGUAUCCUAUGUUCAAAAAUCAAAUGAAAACUAUUCGGUCAAUAAAAAGCUUUAGUCGAAAAUUUCCACAAAUAGUUACAAAAUAGCAGAUAAUUACAAAAUUUGAUCAUUAAUCGUCAGGUAGAAAGAUUUGUAAUGGAGACAACUAUGUCUUUUCUAAAUAGAUCACCAGUUUAUUUAUACCUUUAUAAAACGUUUUUCUAAAAAUGUUCGAUACUGAGAACCAGGCUAUAUAUACGCUGGAGGAAUAUUUUAAUAACAAGGAUGAAAAAUUCAACAGCGACGGAAUAAACGAAUUGUAAAACAUGCAAAACACAAUUAUAAGUAACAACGAAUAUUACGUUAUUAAAGAGAAUAGUUAAUAAAAA